CUUAGUUAUAUUAUGAGUUGCUUUGUAAUUUCUUGGAUCUAUGAUCCAAAGCAUUGUACCUGUAACGAUUAUAGAGUUUGAAUAAAGUUGUAGGUUAUUCCAAAAAAAAGCUAAGAAAUUUUUUUGUUGGAAUGGGCAAAAAUGGACAGGUAAUGAGCAAAAGUUGUUGGGCGGGGCCAGAAUUUUGAGAAUUGAUGGGUCAAAUAUAAGAAAACUAAAAAAAGAGAAAAUAUAUAAACGGGUCGCGCCGAGCCGGCAUGCGGGCUCACGGUUGAUGCUCCGGCACGGCACAUGCCGGGCCACAGGCCGACCCGUCCAAAUUAAUUUUGUGCCGAGCCAAGCCCGUUGGCUUUUGAGAAAAGUCCAGCCCGAUGGCCAUCUGUAGUUGUCAAGGAAAAUAAGAAAGAAAAAAUAUGAGCUUCGGCGUGAAAAGGAAAUUAGCC
rnacentral:lncRNA from 1 species